AUUGAACGCUGGCGGCAUGCUUUACACAUGCAAGUCGAACGGUAACAGGCCGCAAGGUGCUGACGAGUGGCGAACGGGUGAGUAAUGCAUCGGAACGUGCCCAGUCGUGGGGGAUAACGCAGCGAAAGCUGCGCUAAUACCGCAUACGAUCUAUGGAUGAAAGCGGGGGACCGUAAGGCCUCGCGCGACUGGAGCGGCCGAUGUCAGAUUAGGUAGUUGGUGGGGUAAAGGCUCACCAAGCCAACGAUCUGUAGCUGGUCUGAGAGGACGACCAGCCACACUGGGACUGAGACACGGCCCAGACUCCUACGGGAGGCAGCAGUGGGGAAUUUUGGACAAUGGGCGCAAGCCUGAUCCAGCAAUGCCGCGUGCAGGAAGAAGGCCUUCGGGUUGUAAACUGCUUUUGUACGGAACGAAACGGCUCUCUCUAAUACAGGGGGUUAAUGACGGUACCGUAAGAAUAAGCACCGGCUAACUACGUGCCAGCCGCCGCAGUAAGAC
rnacentral:rRNA from 1 species